GUCCUAGCUGGCUUACAGGGCGGCGGCGGGGUGUGUGUCCUCUGUUAAGAGUGCUACUCGCCCGGGGUUGAUCUGUGCAUGCCACUCCUGGGUCAGACGGUGAGGUCGGCGUCUGCGAGGACGCGGCGGUGGAGUAGAAGGGCAGCCGGAGACAGGCCCGGCGCCCCUUCCGAGGCUAGACGGCCCCAGCUUCGCGGGGAUCAUGGCAUUGCUGGUGGACCGAGUGCGGGGCCACUGGCGAAUCGCCGCCGGGCUCCUGUUCAACCUGCUGGUGUCCAUCUGCAUUGUGUUCCUCAACAAAUGGAUUUAUGUGUACCACGGCUUCCCCAACAUGAGCCUGACCCUGGUGCACUUCGUGGUCACCUGGCUGGGCUUGUAUAUCUGCCAGAAGCUGGACAUCUUUGCCCCCAAAAGUCUGCCGCCCUCCAGGCUCCUCCUCCUGGCCCUCAGCUUCUGUGGCUUUGUGGUCUUCACUAACCUUUCUCUGCAGAACAACACCAUAGGCACCUAUCAGCUGGCCAAGGCCAUGACCACGCCGGUGAUCAUAGCCAUCCAGACCUUCUGCUACCAGAAAACCUUCUCCACCAGAAUCCAGCUCACGCUGCAGAUUUCAUAAAUUUUGAAGCUGUAUUCCAAGGUUUAGAAAAUACAGUAUAGAGACAAUAGACUGUUGGGAAGAAAGCAUAAUUGCAUAAGUUGUCUGACUCAAGGUGAAGAGAAGAAAGGAGACAGAGAAACUUGGGUGUGUGAUGCUCACCAAAUACCUACCUGUUUUGGGUAGGAGCCAAACAGCAUGAAUUACAAGUGAACUCAAUGCAGCUGCUGUACUACCAGGCUCCGAUGUCAUCUGCCAUGUUGCUGGUUGCUGUGCCCUUCUUUGAGCCAGUGUUUGGAGAAGGAGGAAUAUUUGGUCCCUGGUCAGUUUCUGCUUUGCUUAUGGUGCUGCUAUCUGGAGUAAUAGCUUUCAUGGUGAACUUAUCAAUUUAUUGGAUCAUUGGGAACACUUCACCUGUCACCUAUAACAUGUUCGGACACUUCAAGUUCUGCAUUACUUUAUUCGGAGGAUAUGUUUUAUUUAAGGAUCCACUGUCCAUUAAUCAGGCCCUUGGCAUUUUAUGUACAUUAUUUGGCAUUCUCGCCUAUACCCACUUUAAGCUCAGUGAACAGGAAGGAAGUAGGAGUAAACUGGCACAACGUCCUUAAUUGGGUUUUUGUGGAGAAAAGAAUGUUGUCCCAAGAAGAUAAAAAAUAUUGUUAAGUGUGCAAGUUAUUAAAAAAAAAAAAUUGGGCCAGGCACGGUGGCUCACGCCUGUAAUCCCAGCACUUUGGGAGGCCAAGGCCAGCGGAUCACUUGAGGUCAGGAGUUCGAGACCAGCCUGACCAACAUGGAGAAACCCUGUCUCAACUAAUAAUACAAAAUUAGCCAGGCGUGGUGGCGCAUGCCUGUAAUCCCAGCUACUCGGGAGGCUGAGGCAGGAGAAUCACUUGAACCCGGGAGGCGGCGGUUGCAGUGAGCCGAGAUCGUACCAUUGCACUCCAGCCUGGGCAACAAGAGCGAAACUCCAUUUCAAAAAAAAAAAAUUGGUGACAGACUCAAUGAUGGAAUGAUUUGUCGGAAUUAACACAAAGCAGAUUUUAUUCAUAUAAUGACUUUUUUUUAAGAGUCUCUUUUUUAAAAAAACUUAAUUCUCUAAAACCGAAAUGGUUCAUGCUUCUUUUUAAAAAUGAUUGUAUAAAAUGUAUGGAAUGGUUAGCCUGGUGUGGUGGUGCACACCUGUAAUCCCAGCUACUUGGGAGACUGAGACAUGAGAAUCGCUUGAGCCUGGGAGGCGGAGGUUGCAAUGAGCCAAGAUCGUACCACUGCACUCCAGCCUGGGCGACAGAGCAAGACACUGUCUCUCUCUCUCUCUCCAUAUAUAUAUGUGUGUGUGUGUAUAUAUAUAUAUAUGUGUGUGUGUGUGUGUGUAUACAUAUAUACACAUAUAUACACACACACAUACAUAUACAUGUGUAUAUAUAUACCAUCCCAUAUAUAUGUGGGAUAUAUAUAUAUAUAUAUAUGGAUAUGGUUAUAUAUAUGGGAUGGUUUGGUUGGUCCCAGCAAAGUAUAUGAAAAUUAAAGUUCUGUGAUAAUGACAAAGGAAUUGCUGUUACUGUACUGCAAAUAUGCUGUGGGUUCUCGGUGUUCAAACUCUUCUAAGGAAGGACACACAGUAGCUCUCUGCUUGCUGAUAGAUGGUUUCCCAGUGUGAGAUUUGUUAUUUUGAUCAGAGUAUUCAAAUCAGAAUUUAAAUCUAGUGUUUCUAUUUUAGUUUAGCUUCCUGAUUUAUAUAAAUGAAAUCUCAUUUAUAAAGUAUAAUAAAGAUGACUGUAAGACAAAAUCCAAUUCUAAAAGUAUGAUUUUUUUCUAGUAGAAAAUUGAUGUAAGAAAUCAUACAUUAUUCAUACAUUUAUAGGUCAUCUCUUUGAGUUUUCAGUGAACUAUAGAAACUAUAUGGAGUUAAAAAACAAAACGGCAGCCAAUCUCAGUGGCUCACACCUGUAAUCCCAGCACUUUGGAAGGUUGAGGCAGGCAGAUCACCUGAGGUUGGGAGUUCAAGACCAGUCUGACCAACAUGGAGGAAUCCCGUCUCUACUAAAAAUACAAAAUUAGCCAGGCAUGGUGGCACAUGCCUGUAAUCCCAGCUGCUCGGGAGGCUGAGGCAGGAGAAUCGCUUGAACCCAGGAGGCAGAGGUUGUGGUGAGCCGAGAUCAUGCCAUUGCUCUCCAGCCUGGGCAACAAGAGUGAAACUCCAUCUCAAAAAAAAAAAAAAAAAAUAGCCCUAUGUUUAAAUGGCUCAAAGAAAAGACUAUAAAUGGAAUUGAACAUGUUUGUUAGCUGUUUGAGCAUUUUAUAUUGGUAAAUUUUUUAUUUUCUUAUUUUUUGUCUUACAGUCGACCAGGCUGGAAUGCAGUGGCACAAUCAUGGCUCACUGCAGCCUCAGCCUCCUGGGCUCAAGCAAUCCUCCUGCCUCAACCUCCCCAGUAGCUGGGACUACAGGUGCACACCAACAUACCUGGCUGAUUUUUAUAUUUUUUGUAGAGACAGAGUUUUGCCAUGUUGCUCAGGCUGAUCUCAAACUCUUGAGCUCAAGCCAUCUGUCUGCCUCAGCCUCUCGAAGUGCUGGGAUUACAGGCCUGAGCCACCACACCUGGCCAGUAAUUUCUUAAUCCUACCUCCCUGCUUCUAUUGCCUAGCCCGUACAUUUGAGGCUUCCAUGGAGCUUUCUGUGGUACUGAAACACUUGGAGUGAACUGCAAACUUGGAGUGAACUACAUCCAACCUUUCUAAGGUGGCUGGGGAAAAUUCUUGUACAGCAAGUUGGGACAAAAUAGCCAUAUAGAAACAGCCAUAUAAGAUCCCAAUAUAGAAAAAUUGGGAUAUUAGAGGAAAUACAUGAUUUCCAUUUAUGGAGUGCUACAUGUUUGCAAAAUGUAUUUCUGCUUUUCAUCUUCUUGACAUCUGAAUAUUAAAAGCAGUUGUUGAUAAUUUCAUAUAAUAAAUUGAGACAUAUCAUUACUCUUGUAAUAAUUCAUUUUCUAAAUGUUAUUUAUCAACUUUCAUGGAGAAAACAACUCUUAGGAGAACAAAGACCAGCCCGGGCAACAUGGCAAAACCCUGUCUGCAAAAAAUACAAAAAUUAGCCGGGCCUAGUGGCACGUGCCUGUAGCUCCAUCUACUCAGGAGGCUGAGGUGGGAGGAUUGCUUGAGCCCAGAAGAUGCAGGUUGCAGUGAGCCGAGAUCAUGCCACUGCACUUCAGCCUGGGCGACAGACUGGACUCUGUCUCGGGAAAAAAAAAAAAAAAAAAAGGGAAGAGCGACAAAAUAUACCUUUUGAUAAGACAGUAAAUUUUAUGUUUUGUGUUUUUUAACACAAUAAAAAUAUAUAUACACACAUAUAAUAUACCUUUGGGGUUUUUAGGAUUUUUUUUUCCUGGACUCUGAAAUGAGAAGCCUCGCUGAAAAUCUGUUUUGGAGAAUUCCAGUUUGUCAGUCAGUCUCUUGUGUAAUUAGUACGUGUGGCUUCCUUCUUUGUUUUAAAUAUUCUUUGGUUCUUCUCAUUUUACAAAGAUAUAUAUUUUUUGUGCUAAGGACAGAGCAAUUAGUUUUUACCAGAUAAGCCUCGGGUAUUAUGUUUGUCUAAGAAACAUUCUCUGUGUAUGUUUAAAUUGUAAUUAUUUCCCAAAAGCUGAGGAAAAUGUUUCAGCACAGUGAGGAUUUGACGUCUGCACUGAGAACAGCUGAGUUUAUUUGUGCCAUUUAGAAAUUCGUAACUGUAGGCUGGGCGCAGUGGCUUACGCCUAUAAUCCCAGCACUUUGAGAGGCCAAGGCGGGUGGAUCACCUGAGGUCAGGAGUUUGAGACCAGCCUGGCCAACAUGGCGAAACACUGUCUCUACUAAAAAUACAAAAAUUAGCUGGGCAUGGUGGCGGGCGCCUGUAAUUCCAGCUACUCGGGAGGCUGAGACAGGAGAAUCACUUGAACCAGGGAGUCGGAGGUUGCAGUGAGCCGAGACUGCGCCAUUGCACACCAGCCUGGGUGACGAGAGUGAAACUCUGUCUCAAAAAAAGAAAAAAAAAAAGAAAUUUUUAACCGUAAAUAGAACUUGGGGAGGGUGUUAUAUAAUAUAUGUGUCAGUAGGAAGGCAGUAAGAAGAUUGGAGUAAGACAGGAUGGGGUUACAUGUAUAUAAAUGAAUAAAAUAAGUACUGCUAAAACUUGAGUCUGAUAAACUUUUUUGCCCCGAAGAUAAUCAUCCCACUGAAAAGAAAACUCUGGGGAAAAUAUGCCAGAUACUAGGACCAAGCACGGAGACAAACCAGAUACAGUGCUUUCAAAGAAAACAUGCUUGCUGUCCUUUGUUACCAGUGUAAUUGUAAUUAUUGUUUAUUCUGUGUUAAGUGACUGAAUUUCAAUUUUUACCUUUUAAAAAUAAAGAGAACCUCUUUUUACUUCUGUAUUGCAUAUGAGAGCUGAUGGAAGAAGGAUGGCAUCUGUGUAACAUAUGCAUGGUAACGCUGACGUGUUCAGCUGUUCAUAUUUGGCCUGUCCAAAUAAGCAGAAAUGAAUGAAACAAAAUUCCAUCUCCUUUUAGAAAUAACAUAAAGGAGAAAUCUAUCUCUGUGAAAUGAAGUAAGCAUUCUUCUGUUUCACUUUUUAAAAUACUUUUAAAAUCUUGCUGUUUUCAACCUAUUAAUGACUUUUUGAAAUUGUAUUUCAAAGCAGAAACAUUAGGUUGGGUAUGGUGGCUCACGCCUGUAAUCCCAGCACUUUGGGAAGCUGAGGUGGGCAGAUCACCUGAGGUCAGGAGUUCAAGACCAGCCUGGCCAAUAUGGUGAAACCUUGUCUCUACUAAAAAUACAAAAAUUAGCCAGGUGUGGUGUUGCAUGCCUGUAGUCCCAGCUACUUGGGAGGCUGAGGCAGGAGAAUGGCUUGAACCCGGGAGGCGGAGGUUGCAGUGAGCCGAGAUCACGCCACUGCACUCCAGCCUGGGCAACAGAGCAAGACUCCAUCUCAAUAAUAAUAAUAAUAAUAACAAAGCAGCAACAUUAAUCAAGCACUCUGUAUUCACUCCGUCAGUAAAUACUGUCGGGUGAAUGACUGCAGAAUGGCCAAAGGUGAGAGUUUGAUUAAAAGAAAGGAGACCUUGGCCGGGCACGGUGGCUCACGCCUGUAAUCCCAACACUUUGGGAGGCUGAGGUGGGUGGAUCACCUGAGGUCAGGAGUUCGAGACCAGCCUGGCCAACAUGGUGAAACCCCAUCUCUACUAAAAAUACAAAAAAAUUAGCUGGGCGUGGUGGUGGAUGCCUGUAAUCCCAGCUACUUGGGAGGCUGAGGCUGGAGAAUCCCUUGAACUUGGGAGGCGGAGGUUUCAGUGAGCCAAGAUCAUGCCAUUGCACUGCAGCCUGGGCAACAAGAGCAAAACUGUCUCAAAUAAAUAAAUAAUAAAAGAAAGGAGACCGGAUUUAUUAGAUGUGGUCCGUUUUGUCUUUCUGUUCCCAAACUUAAACUGGAUUAUACCUGCUAAUAUCAGGAAUAUAAUGAUAAUUGCAUUCAUUCAACAAAAAUUUAUUGAGCAUAUACUGUGUGCCAGGUACUGUCCUAGGCAUUAUGGAUAUAAAACAGUUUUUAUGUAGAGACAGUCCUAUAUUUCCUGUGAUCUUAAGGAACAUUUGUCUAGUAUUAGAGAUAGGACUAAUUAAACAAAAACAAGACAAGAAUAAUUAAACAGCAAACUCAAUGAAUGCUAAAGGGAACAUCGUUCUGUGAGCACAUAACAAAAGAAUCUGGCCCAGGCUUGGCACUUGUGGAGGGAGUCCAUGAGGAAAGUUUGAGCUGCAGUCAUAGAUACAUAGAAGUUAGCUAGCUAGGCAGAGGGAGGGUAUUGCAUUCUGGAAAGAGGGAAUAGCACAUACAAAUGCCUAGUGGUUGGAGGAAUUGUGAUGCUUUUAAAGAACUGUAAAAAGGAUGGAGUCUGGAGACUAAAUUUGGGAGUGGGGAGACAUGGUGUGUCCUGCACCUGGAAAUGUAGAUAGACCUCAGGCCAUACAAUACCUGGAGGCUAUGGUAAGCAUCUUUAGUAAGAGCAAGGGGGAGUGUUGUGAGCACUGUCACAGUAAAUUUCUUUUUUUGAAAUUAGUGGAGGAGAACCAGAGAGAUGCCAGGAGACCAGUUAGUUGGGAGAUGACUGUAGUUAGAGAUGGUGGUAGCUUCAAAGGUAGUGGAAUGAGAUAAGUGGAAAUAAUUGAGUAGCUGGAGUCAACUGGACUGGAGAUGGAUUGGAAAUGGAGGGCAUGAGAAGGGGUGAAGUUAAGGAUCACACUUCAGCUGGGCACAGUGGCUCAUGCCUGUAAUCCCAGCACUUUGGGAGGCUGAGGUGGGUGGAUUGCUUGAGUCCAGGAGUUCGAGACCAGCCUGGGCAAACAUGAUGAAACCCCAUCUCUACAAAGAAUACAAAAUUAGCUGGGCAUGGUGGUGUGGGCCUGUGGUCCCAGCUACUCAGGAGGCUGAGGCGGGAGGAUCUCCUGAGCCCAGGAGUUUGAGGCUUCAGUGCGCCAUGAUCACGCCACUGCACUCUAGCCUGGGUGACAGAGUGAGUCCCUGUCUCAACAACAACAAAAAAUCACACAUGUCUGAUUUGCGCAGCUUGAUAGAGAAUGGUGCCAUUCUCUGAACUAGGAAACACAAGAAGAGGACUGAGGAGAGGGAUGAGGCAGAGGAAUAUUAUGGGCCUUCUUGAUACUGAGAUAUCCAAUUAAAGAUGUUGGCCAGGCAUGGUGGCUCAGGCUUGUAAUCCCAGCACUUUGGGAAGCUGAGGCAGUCAGAUCACUUCAGAUCAGGAGUUUGAGACCAGCCUGACCAACAUGGUGAAACCCCGUCUCUACUAAAAGUACAAAAAUUAGCUGUGUGCGGUGGUGCAUGCCUAUAAUCCCAGCUACUUAGGAGGCUGAGGCAGGAGAAUCGCUUGAAUCUGGGAGGCAGAAGCUGCAGUGAUCUGAGAUUGCACCACUGCACUCCAGCCUGGGUGACAGAGAGAGACUCUAUCUCAGAAAAAAAAAAAAAAGAUGUUAAUCAAAUAAUUAGUUUAUAGAGGCCCAGAACUCAGGAAAAUGUUUAGUUGAGGUGGAGAUAAAACAGGAGUUUCUGGGGUAUGCCUGAUAAGGAGGAAAACAGACCAAGAUGAGCUUGCUGAAGAAGAUAGCAUAAAGCAAGAACAGACUAUAACUGAAGUUGAGGAACUCUGGUAUACAAUGAUAGAACAUAAUGCUGCAAAAGAAACAGAGAAGGAACAAAGAGGUGGGAGGAAAAUGGGCCGGGCACUGUGGCUUAUGCCUGUAAUCCCAACAUUUUUGAGAGGCCAAGCUGGGUGGAUCUCUUGAGCUCAGGAGUUCAAGACCAGCCUGGGCAUCAUGGCAAAACCCUGUCUCUACAAAAAAUACAAUAAUUAAUAGUUUCGAAAGAAAGAAACCUGCCAAGCAAAAGUCCGGUCUCAGCCCGGGAGCUAGUAGCAUGCAGUGGAACAGGUCUCACCUGGACGGCAGCACUGGGACUUCCAGUCCAGACUCUGCCAUUCACUGGUAUAGCCUUUGGCAAAGCCUUUGGGCAGCUUGCUCAAAUCUUACUUCUCAGUUUCUUCACCUAUAAAAUGAGGGCUUUGAUCCAAAUAAUUUCCAGGGGACUGUCCAGCUCCAAAAUCCCCUGAUUCUGCUUUUUCAGAUUAAAAUUAUAAUUUCUCAUUUGCUUAUAAUAAAAGUAGAUUGAAUAAAUUAAUCAGAAGGGUUUGGUUUGUUUGACCUUUUUUUUAAUUUUAAUUUUUAUUUUUUAUUUUUUGAGACAGAGUUUCCUCUGUCUCCCAGGCUUGGUUGUUGUGGCUCAAUCUCAGUUCACUGCAACCUCCGCCUCCCGGGUUCAAGCGAUUCUCCCGCCUCUGCCUCCCGAGUAGCUGAGAUUACAGGCACCCACCAUCAUGCCCAGCUAAUUUUUUGUAUUUUUGUAGAGACAGGGUAUCACCAUGUUGGCCAGGCUGGUCUUGAACUCCUGACCUCAGGUACUCCGCCCACCUCAGCCUCCCAAAGUGCUGGGAUUACAGGUGUGAGCCACCACGCCUGGCCUGUUUGACCUUUAUAAGAUCAAUUUUUUUGUUCACAAGCAUUUCUUUACUCAUAGAUACCAUUUUUAUAACUUAUAUGAGACGCAUUUAAUGUAAUCAUAUUACUUUCUUAUAUUAGAAGAUAGGAUUUCUUCUGAUGUAUCGAAGUUACUUUAUACUUCAUAUGAAGUCAUUAGGAGGUGAAUUAUUGCCAAUUCAAUGAAUUAUUUAUGAGUAUUAGGGGAAUGUUUUUGUUAUGCUGCUUUUAAUUUGGAAAGCAGCAUAUCACUCAAACUAUAGUAAUUCACAUUUUUCCAUUUAACUAAAAAUGUCUCGUAACUACUAUGCCACAAGAACAAGCAUGGAUACUUAUUUAACCAGCCAAGACUAUGCAUUUCUAAAUAUUUAUUUUUUUCGGUUAUCCGUAGACUUUUCCUUUUGAAAUCCAACGAUCUGUAUCAACCACGUCUUCAUUUUCCUUUUCCUGUUUGUCUUACUCUCCCCCCAAAAAGAGUCAGUUUCCUGUUUUCUCAAUUUCUCAGUUUAAAAUUAGAGCCCUAUGGCAGGUGCCAUGUACAGCUGCAAAGGUGGCAAGAAGCCCUGAGAAAGCUCAAGAAGCAGGUCAAGGGGGUGGGUAAGGAAGAUGGGACGUUCAAGCAGAAACAAAAAGAGGAGCUAAAAGUGAAAGCCACCCCGCCACCAGCCCUCACCAGUCACAGGUGGAAUUAAAGAAAUCUGGCAAAAAAUAAAUUUUGUUAUCCGUGCUUGGGGCGGUGACCCUUGACCCCAUUCCUAUUUAAACAUCUGGAUUCUCUGCCAUAACAUCUUUUGCCACCUAUAGCUACAAUAAAGUGUCGUCUUGGAGUCUGUUGUACAUUUAAGAAUAAACUUUUGUAAGGAAGUAAAAAAGAGUCUACAGUUCAGUGCAGGAUAGGGAUGGGUGGGCCUUAAUUCAGGAGGUGGGAGGCUCAAAAUCAAUUACUCUGUUGAGGAGAUGGAAUCUCCUGGAAUCUCAAAAAGGAUUUCCUUUAGGAAUCAUCAGACUCAUCCGACUCGUCAAGUCUUUCUCUGCUUGGAGUUUUGUUUUGUUUUUAUUUUGUUUUGUUUUGGAGAUAGGUUCUCCCUCUGUCACCCAGGCUGGAGUGCAGUGGUGCAAUCACAGCUCACUGCAGCCUCGAAUUCCUAGGCUCAAGUGAUCCUCCCACCUCAGCCUCCUGAGUAGCUGGGACUACAGGUGUGCACCAACAGGCCCAGAUAAUUUUAUUUUUUGUAGAGACGGGGUCUUGCUAUGUUGCCAGGCUGGUCUCCAACUCCUGGCCUCAAGUGAUCCUCUUGCUCUGCCUCCCGAAGUGCUAAAAUUACAGCUGUGAAACACCGCGCCUGGAGUUUAAAAGCAAGAUUAACCUUUUUGGACUGGAGUUCUUAGAGAAUUAUGGUGUGACUCAUUGACCAUAUUUGUUAGGAUCAGCAUUUUUAUAUGAUUUAACACAAAAUGUUACAGAAAAAAGUGCAAAAAUGUUGUAAGGCACAGUUGGUUUCCUAAGCAAAUGCCCAUUCCUAUUCUUUGUUCAUCUCCACUCUAGAGGCUAGAAAUACUAAAUUCUCUUUUUACCUCGUUGCCUUGUAGAGGGAUGAUCAUAUGACAUUUCACCAAUGGCACAUAAUUCAAAGUCUGCUGAGGAUUUCUAGGGUAUCCUGAUUAAAAGGGACAGAUGUGGCUGGUAGUGUCUAUUACCACCUCCUUCCUGCCUUAAAUGUAGCUGCGGAUGUCUAGAAUUGUGCUAAUCAGCUUAUGACUAUAAAAGAGAGGUGAAGAGAGCCAGAUCUGAAAGUGGUGAGCCGACCAGGCACAGUGGCACACCUGUAACCCCAGCACUUUGGGAGGCCGAGGGAGGAGGAUCAUUUGAGCCCAGGAGUUUGAGACCAGCCUGGGCAACAUUGCAAAACCUGUUCUCUGUGAAUAACUUAAAAAUUAGUCAGGUGGCCAGGCGUAGUGGUUCACACCUGCAAUCUCAGCACUUUGGAAGGCUGAGGUGGGUGGAUCACCUGAGGUCAGGAGUUCGAGACCAGCCUGACCAACAUGGAGAAACCCUGUCUCUACUAAAAAUACAAAAUUAGCUGGGCGUAGUGGCUUAUGCCUGUAACCCCAGCUACUCGGCAGGCUGAGACAGGAGAAUCGCUUGAACCAGGGAGGCAGAGGUUGCAGUGAGCUGAGACCACGCCAUUGCACUCCAGCCUGGGCAACAAGAGUGAAACUCCAUCUCAAAAAAAAAAAAAUUAGGUAUAUUGGUGUGCACCUGUGGUCUCAGCUACUCAGGAAGCUGAAGCAGGAGGAUUGCCUGAUCCUGGGAGGUUGAGGCUGCAGUGAGCCAUGAUCAUGCCACUGCACUAUAUGCUGGGCAACAGAGGGAGACCCUGUCUCAAAAACAAACAAAACAAACAAAAAUAAGCAAAAAAAAAAAAGUGUUGAGCAGCUAAAACAAUGCCGUUAGAUGCCCUAUCUCUUAAAAAAAAAAAAAAAAAGAUAAAAUAAAAGAAAUUGGGUCUUGUGGCCAGGUGCGGUGGCUCACGCAUAAUCCCAACACUUUGGGAGGCUGAGGUGGGUGGAUCACUUGAGCCCAGUAGUUUGAGACCAGCCUGGCCAACACGUCUUCUUGUUCUAGAUGAAAAGUAAACCCCUAUUUGGCUUACUCACUUAAAAAAAUAAUAAUAAUUAGAGACAGGGUGUUGCUAUGUUGCCCUGGCUGGUCUCACUCCUGGGUUCAAGUGAUCCUCCUGCCUCAGCCUCCCAAAGUGCUGAUAUUACAGGCGUGAGCAACCAUGCCAGCCUGGCUUAGCCACUUUUAAUUAUUACUCGUAGCUGCAAGAAUGCCAAUGAGCAUUUGGGGUAAAAAGGGGCAAGAAUGGAGGACCUGCUCUGUCUGUCGGACUUUGGAACUCAGGAAGCAACAACUAAGCGUACUCGUUGUCUUAGUCCAUUUUGUGUUGCAUAGAACAGAAUACCUGAAACUGGGUCAUUUAUAAAGAAAAGGAAUUUAUUUCUUACAAUAGUGGAGACUGAGAAGUCCAAGGUACAGGGUCCACAUCUGGUGAGAGACUUCUUGUUCCUGGGAACUCUCUGCAGAGACCCAAGGUGGCAGAGGGCCUCACGUGGUGAGGGACUUGAGCAUGGUAGCUCAGGUCUCUCUUCCUCUUCUUAUAAAGGCACCAGUCUCACUGGGCAGAGCCUUCAUGACCCAGUCACCUUUUAAAGGCGCCAUCUCUCAAUAUUGCCACAUUGGGGAUGUUUCCAGAUGAGUUUUGGAGGAGACAAAUAUUCAAACUACAGCACUGGUUAAAAAUAAAAAUAGGGCCUGGCGUGGUGGCUCACGCCUGUCAUCCCAGCAGUUUGGGAGGCUGAGGCAGAUGGAUCACCUGAGGUCAGGAGUUCGAGACCAGCCUGGCCAACAUGGUGAAACCCCGUCUCUACUAAAAAUAUAAAAAUUAGCCAGGCAUGCUGGCGUGUGCCUGUAAUCCCAGCUGCUCAGGAGGCUGAGGCAGGAGAAUGGCUUGAACCCGAGAGGCAGAGGUUGCAGUAAGCUGGAAUCACACUAUUACACUCCAGCCUGGGUGACAAGAGCGAAACUCUGUCUCAAAAAAAAAAAAAAAAAAAAAAAAAAAAAAAGGCCAGACUUGGUAGCUAACACCUGUAAUCCCAGCACUUUGGGAGGCCAAGGCAGGAGGAUCACUUGAGGUCAGGAGUUGGAGACCAGCCUGGCCAACAUGGUGAAACCCCGUUUCUACCAAAAAUACAAAAAUUAGCCGGGCAUGGUGACGUGUGCCUGGCAGAGGUUUCAGUGAGCCGAGAUCAUGCCAUUACACUCCAGCCUGGGUGACAAGAGCAAAACUCUGUCUCACAAAAAAAAAAAAAAGGCCAGGCAUGAUGACUCACGCCUGUAAUCCCAGCGAUUUGGGAGGCCGAGGCAGGUGGAUCACUUGAGGUCAGGAGUUGGAGACCAGCCUGGCCAACAUGGUGAAACCCAAUCUCUACUAAAAAUACAAAAAUUAGCUGGACGUGGUGGCAGGCGCCUGUAAUCCCAGCUACUCACUCAGGAGGCUGAGGCAGGAAACUCACAUGAACCCUGGAGACGUAGGUUGCAGUGAGCUGAGAUCACAUCACUGCACUCCAGCCUGGGAGACAGAGUGAGACUCCGUCUCAAAAAAAAAAAAAGAAAAGAAAAAUUAGUCAGCUGUGAUGGUGUGCACCUGUAGUCCCAGCUACUCUGAAAGCUAAGGCACGAGAAUCGCUUGAACCUGGGAGGCGGAGGUUGCAGUGAGCUGAGAUCAUGCCACUGCACUCCAGCCUGGAUGACAGAAUGAAACUGUGUCUCAAAAAGAAAAAAAAAAACAAAAACUAGUAGCUAGCCCCACCCCCGCCAUUUUUCCAGACUCCAGAGAGUGGGGUGUGUGGAAGACAGGGACUGGUCUGGUGGCAUGUAGAUUCAUAAAUGGCGUCCAAACCUGGAGCUGUUGCUGGCUUGGAAUGAAUGAACCAGUUCCAGCCAGGAACAGACUUUCCCACCAAGUGGGAGGUGGUCUACCUGCCCUUCACCAUCAUCUUUGUGCUCUCUGACACUGGUCAUCCUCAGUUACCCAAUAUACCCCUCGCCCCAGCCCCAUCCCUAGUCACCCCUCAUUCCUAGUAGUACCCCCAGUUCUGCUUCAAUUUGAUUCAGCAGAUCAAGAAAGCACUAUCACCAAUGGUCGCAAGGUCAUGCUUAAGUCUUGGAACUGGCCAUCAGUGUGAAAGUUCAACAGGUAUUCAGUAAGCAGAUCUAGGAAAAACUCACUCUAAUAACGUUCCAGGAAUUUCCUAAGACCAUAGUGGGAGACAGCUGCAUCAGAGGCCUCCCAGUGCCAUAGGACCAUGGACAUUGGUGAGCAACUGUGUGCUGGGAGGAAAUGGCUGCUUAUUGGCAUGGAGUUAUUGAAUGCAGAACUUUUCAGCCAAGCACAGUGCUAUUCUUCUGAAAUCAUAACAUCAUGAGGACAUCCACUGCUUGUACUCAAAUAGCAUUCCUCACAGGAAUGUCACACCUGUGACUCUCUCAUACCUCCAAAAUCUCACUGCUGUUCUGAAACGCAAGAGAUUUUGCCAAGGAAAUGCUGACAUUCCUUCUGUCCACUCCUCUCCCCACACUGCACUGUGUGGCCCCAGAGAGGAAAGACAAGGGCUGUUACCAUGGAGUUCUUGAAUUUCAUUAUUUAUCUCCCAACACAACUUUGGCCUCACCCUCUUCCCCAGCGUGAAGACGCACAACCCAAGUGGGACAGUCUGAAUUUCCCCACCCUCAGGUGUCAGAGAAUCAGAGGAAGUCAUGCUGCUUAUCUAGAAUCUGCUAGAAAUGGAGUUCACCCAAAGAAUGACCAUCACAGAAUUUAUGAACUACUCCUAGAUCAUGCAAUUAAUAAGUCCUCUAGCCCAGUACCACUCAAGGUAGGGUCUGGGCCCCAGUACCAGUCCAUAAACAGUUUGCUGCCGGCUGGGUGUGGUGGCUCAUGCCUAUAAUCCCAGCACUUUGGGAGGCCAAGGUGGGCGGAUCACUUGAGAUCAGGAGUUUAAGACCAGCCUGGCCAACAUGGUGAAUCCCCGUCUCUAUAAAAAGUACAAAAAUUAGCCAGGUAUGGUGGUAUGUGCCUGUGAUCCCAGCUACUCGGGAGGCUGAGGUGGGAGGAUCACCCAAGCCCAGGGAGGUCGAGGCUGCAAUGAGCCACCGUGAUGGUGAACUGCACUCCAGCUUGAGUGACAGAGUGAGAUCCUGUCUCAAAAAAAAGGGCGGGGUGCGGGGAUUUUGGGUAGUAAUAUCAAUAGCAGACAAAAUAGAAUUUGAGGCAAAAAGUGUUAAUAGGAUCAAGAUUUUUUUUUUUAAAGAACAAUCCACCACAAACAUAGCAAUCAUGAACAACCCAGAAAACAGCAUGAAAAUUAAAAGGAAAAUUGAGAUUUUAAAUACUUCUAAUAGAGGUGAUAGAGCAGGCAGCAGGGAAGUUAGUAACCUUGUCUAAUAGGUUAUCUGUACUCAACAAGCCUAGAACACACACUCCUUUCAAGUACCUGAGGAAUGUUUAUAACAGUAAAGAUGAACAGAGAUCAUAUUAUAAAUAGUUGGAAGAUUUAUUUUUUAUUUUGUUUUUUAGAAACAGGGUCUUGCCGGCCAGGCGUGGUGACUCAUGCCUGUAAUCUCAGCACUUUGCAAGGCCGAAGCGGGUGGAUCACCUGAGGUCAGGAGUUUGAGACCAGCCUAGCCAACAUGGCGAAACCUCGUCUCUACUAAAAAUACAAAAAUUAGCUGGGCGUAGUAGUGGGUGCCUAUAAUCCCAGCUACUUGGGAGGCUGAGGCAGGAGAAUUGCUUGAACCGGGAGGGUAGAGGUUGCAGUGAACCAUGGUCGCACCACUUCACUCCAGCCUGGACAAAAGAGCAAAACUCCAUCUCCAAAAAAAAAAAAGAAAAGAAACUGAGUCUUAUGGCUGGAUGCAGUGGCUCACGCCUGUAAUCCCAGCACUUUGGGAGGCCAAGGUAGGUGAAUCACUUGAGCCCAGGAGUUUGAGACCAACCUGGCCAACAUGGCGAAACUCCAUCUCUACUAAAAAUACAAAAGUUAGUUGGGCGUGGUGGUGUGCCCCUGUAAUCCCAGCUACUCAGGAGGCUGAGGCAGGAGAAUUGCUUGAACCCAGGAGGUGGAGGUUGCAAUGAGCCACUGCACUCCAGACUGCAUUCCAGCCUGGGCGACAGAACAAGACUCUGUCUCAAAAACAAAAACAAAAACAAAAAACUAGGUCUUUCUCUGUGGCCGACGCUGGAGUGCAGUGCCUUUUUGCAGGCACAAUCAUAGUGCACUGCAGCCCUGAACUCCUUGGCUCAAGUAAUCCUCCUGCCUCAGCCUCCUGAGUAACUGGGACUAUAGGUAUGCCCUACCAUGUGUGGCUAUAUUUGGUAGGUUUUAAAUGAAAAGAUUUUUGUUUUCUGUACAUUUAUUUAAAUUUAAAAAGUAUUUAAGCCAUCUUUAAGAAACUUAAUGUUGAGAAUGUUCUAGAAUAGUGAGUCAUUAGAUUUCAAAAUAUUGGUAUUGAACCAGAUGGUCUUGUGGCUUCAAAGAAGUCUCUGAAGUCACUCCAGGUGAUAUUAAAAGUACAGUGCUAGGACUGUCUGACCCAAAAUAUGUGGCUGGAACCAGAAAGGAUAUAAGCAUGGUUUGAGAAGGAAAAAAAGCUUAACAAGGGGGAAUUGAGGAAGCCAUUUGCAAAACUUCACAGGAAAGUUAAAUGAAUGAAUGAAUAAAAUGUGAUUAAUAAAUAUGGGGGCCAGGUACAGUGGCCUGCAUCUGUAAUCCCAGUGUUUUGGGAGGCCAAGGCAGGAGGUGCACUUGAGGCCAGGAGUUCAAGACCUGAGCAACACAGCAAGACCCCCGUCUCUAUAAAAAAUUUUAUAAAAUUAGCCGGGCAUGGUGGUAGACACCUGUAGUCCCAGCUACUUGGGAAGAUGAGGCAGAGGAUUGCCUGAGCCCAGGAGUUUGAGGUUAUAGUGAGCCAUGACUGUGCCACUGCACUCCAGCCUGGGCAACAAAGUGAGACCCUGACUCUAAAAGUAAAAUUAAAUUAAAUUAAAAAUAAGUGGAUAAAUAUGGGUUAUGCUGUGAAGCAUAGAGGGAGGGAUGAAGAGGGACAUUUUAAGCCACUUCUCUGGCCCCAGUUUCUAACAUUAUUUCUAAAAUGCAGGAUAUCUGGUUAUCCCAAACCAGUUAUAUUUUUAUUUAAAUUUGCUCAAAAUUUUUAUUUUUAAAUCUUAACAAUUUCUAAAAUCACACUUUUUAAUUUAUUUUGUAUUUUUUUGAGACAGGGUCUUACUUUGUCACCCAGGCUGGAGUGCAGGGGCACAAACAUGGCUCACUGCAGCCUCGACCUCCCAGCCUCAAGUGAUACUCCCGCCUCAGCCUCCCAAGUAGCUGGGACUACAGGCAUGCACCACCACACCUGGCUAAUUUUUUUAUAUUUUGUUUGUAGAGAUGGGGUUUCACCAUGUUGCCCUGUCUAGUCUUGAAACCUUGAGCUCAAGAGAUCUGCCCACCUUGGCCUCUCAAAGUGCUGGGAUUACAGGCGUGAGCCGUCCUGCCUGGCCUAGUCACACUUUUUUUUUUUUUUUUUUUUUUGGAGACAGAGUUUCACUCUUGUUGCCCAGGCUGGAGUGCAAUGGCAUGAUCUGGACUCACCGCAACCUCCGCCUCCUGGGUUCAAGCGAUUCUCCUGCCUCAGCCACCCAAGUAGCUGGGAUUAUAGGCAUGCACCACUAUGCCCGGCUAAUUUUGUAUUUUUAGUAGAGACAGGGCUUCUCCAUGAUGGUCAGGCUGGUCUCGAACUCCUGACCUCAGGUGAUCUGCCCGCCUCGGCCUCCCAGUGUUGGGAUUAUAGGCAUGAGCCACCGCGCCCAGCUAGUCACGCUUUUUAGUCAAGAUUUUUAAAAAUGUCUGCAUGCUUUUCUGAGAGCCUUACCUCUCUUGUGAUUUGAAGCAUUUUCUCCACCAGGCCUAAGGCUGAAGGAAUGUAGUUUGCUGCCCUUCAGUCUAUGACAAGGAGGUCUGUUUCCUCCAACGCCUGCCUUUUAGACAGAGUGUUGAUUCACAGGGAACAGAGGCAGACCUGGGGCUGACACUGAAUGAAUGCUACUCACAGCAGUAAGGGGAAAAGUGGGAAAGUCUUGUUUAUGCUGUGGCUGAUGUGGAUGUCUUUGGGGAAGAAAAAUUCAGGAUGAGUUUAUUGAGAGCAUUAUUUUUGAAAGUAUAAGAUUUGUGAUUGUAAUAUAAACUUAAAUCACUUUGGGAAUGAAUUUAAAAAAUCUAUGUGACACAAAUUAAUCAUCAUUCUCAUUGUAAAUUUGGCAAAGUAUUUGUAAUUAGGAAUAUCUGUCAUACUGGCACUGGGCAAAUUAUUCUGAAUGUUCCCAUGCUGAAGAUUCUCUCAAAAAGGGAAAAAACAAGAUCCUUUGUUUGUAUAAGUACAAUCAGUUUGCUGAAUAAAACCUUUAUAGCUACAAUUAUAACAGGAUUGUUUCUACAUUUUAGCUUGGAGAUCCCAUGACUACUCUGUUUUGCUAAUAAUAAACCAAUACAGUGCUACA